GUCAGGAGCGAGGUUGCCUCGCGGCUGGAUGGAACGAAGAAAUCGGCCCGAGUAGUACGAGUCAAUCGUUGUGUGGACUCAGCUGGAAAUUCGAAGAAUCGUUACGCAAUCCGACCGACCAAUUGAAGUGGUGUUUCCCAGAAACGUUCUGCACGUAUCCGUUUAAUUAAUCUGAGUCCAUGAUCCAUCACGACGACACACCGAUAAGACCGUAGCAGCCGCAACCCUUAAAGAAGCCCCAUAAAACAACAUCUACAGUGACAAGCAUUCCACGCGUUCCAACCACGUCGAUCGUAUACGUCUGAGGACAUAAAUUCUCGAAAUCCCUGUUCCGAGAGUUGCCGCGAUACGUCCAACUACCGGAUCAUCGUCCCUGGAGUCACCGAGCCCCAUCGUUCAUCCCUUACCUAUGGCAGUUUUAGUGCGCACGGUGCGUGAGUAUCCCAUGGGAUGGAGUAUCGCCCAGUAACGAUCCACGGACACCGCGACCAGGCAGAAGAUGCUGAUGGUGCAGAGCACG